CGACUGAGUGGCGGACGGGUGAGUAACGCGUGGGUAACCUGCCUCGUACAGGGGGAUAACAGUUGGAAACGGCUGCUAAUACCGCAUAAGCGCACAGUACCGCAUGGUACGGUGUGAAAAACUCCGGUGGUAUGAGAUGGACCCGCGUCUGAUUAGGUAGUUGGUGGGGUAACGGCCUACCAAGCCGACGAUCAGUAGCCGACCUGAGAGGGUGACCGGCCACAUUGGGACUGAGACACGGCCCAA
rnacentral:rRNA from 1 species